UGGCAGGUUUACUGUAGAUUAAGCCCAGUUUCGCUGCAUGAAAGGUUAUGGAAUCACAUGAAAGGUUAUUUACUGGUUAGCUUUGUAUCCCUGCUAGGUCUGAAAAUGAAAAUAUGCCAUUUCGUCGAAAAAUCUGACAGAUUGCAGCGGGGGUGGUGGUUUGGAUCAGUCAAAUGGACCUUGUUGCAGUAGACAUAAGGUGUUUGGUUUUACUAGCUGGACACUUGCCAAGGUGUUCUACAAUAGUCAGAUUCAAUAUUAGAGUAGACAUGGUGUUUUAAUUAUGUGACACAGACUUCAGAUAAUCUUCCCAGUUAUUGUUUGCCUUCUGCUCCGACUAGAAGUAUUGGCUAUGUGCUGCAGGUACGAUCUGCUACACUCGACACAUGGCUUCCAGAAUAGGUUGCAUUUAUUCAAACAAUGGGAAAUGAGAAGUCAAAUAGCUGCUGGGAAGCAGAACUGCCUCCAAAUUAUGAUAGAAAUCUUUUGGUGGGCUCUAGCUGAUGAAUAGCUUGGAUCCAUCACAUGUGCUGCGAAUCACCUUAACACCCAUCUUAUACGUAAAAUCUAUUUGUUUAGGGUCUAAACACCUUGGUCUUAUUGGAUGUCUUUCACUUAGCAAUACGAGAUUUCUUGUGCAUCAACUAAAGCUUUGUGUUUUCCUGAAUUGUGCAUGGUAAAAUGGGAUUUCACUAACUUGUUAGCAUGCCUGACUUGAGCUGACAAAACAGGUUUCUUCUAAUUCAAAAGUAGAGCCGGUCCCAGUGCAGGCUGAUUCAACACAGAAAGUGCAACCUAAACCCAAUAUCCCACCUACAAAGGUUGUUGAAAUCAUUGACCGGUAUGAGACAGUGCAUUCCAGAGAGCUCAAGAGGCAAUAAGCUUGCAUUUAUACAGGACCUGAAAAUGGACAAAACCUGCACUAGGACAGUAACAGACAUGUUUCUGAGGGGGCAAAACCCAAAGGCAGGGGAGCUCCGAAGAAGGCUCCUGCUAGAAAGGUGUGCUUGCAAAUCCUGAACUUCUUAUU